rnacentral:rRNA from 1 species
CGAAGGAAAGCGAGGGGAUCGCAAGACCUUGCGCUGAUUGAGCGGCCGAUAUCAGAUUAGCUAGUUGGUGAGGUAAAGGCUCACCAAGGCGACGAUCUGUAGCGGGUCUGAGAGGAUGAUCCGCCACACUGGAACUGAGACACGGUCCAGACUCCUACGGGAGGCAGCAGUGGGGAAUUUUUGGACAAUGGGCGCAAGCCUGAUCCAGCCAUGCCGCGUGAGUGAAGAAGGCCUUCGGGUUGUAAAGCUCUUUCGGCCGGGAAGAAAUCGCACAGGUUAAUACCCUGUGUGGAUGACGGUACCGGAAUAAGAAGCACCGGCUAACUACGUG